GGCCGGGUGGCGCAAUGGUAGCGCGCUGCCUUCCGGUUACUGGAAUAUGGCAGUGGUUGCGCGUUCGAGUCGCGUCUCGGUCG